UUCAUGUAAUAACUUCUUUUUUUAUUGGUAUUUCUUGAUGUAACACAUCGAUUUGGGCAUGGAUUUGCUAUGAGAUCGAGCUAAAAGACAUCCAAAAUCGUUCAACAUUCUUAGUCGGCUCAUAUUGAACACCGAGUUCAUUCGUGCCAUUGACAUUGAGUACCGUCGCUCCAAACUAUAGGUAACGAGUACACGGUGCCGACAUAUAUGAUGGAGUGGGUCGUAGGGAUGUGGCCGAGUGUCGGAGGAAAGCCAUGCGAGGGCUGUACGUAUCUGUACAUGCCAAUGUGUAUAAAUCAUUGCAACAUUGCUGUGGAGAUCAUAUUUGCCUACUCUACUACGUAUGUGUACGACCCCGAUCAUUCAUGUCCGACACAAGGUCGGCUCGAACGAAAUUUGGAGUUGGUGUUUGUGAUCGUUCUCAUGAUGGCUAGACGAGCGAACAUCACCGUACAAGACAGACUGCCAUCGUGCGAGACACGACGACUGCGCGGUAGCAAAUAUCGUAAGUAUUUAUAAUUUUUUUUUUAAUUUACAACUUAGUAGACGGUGAUGUGCUAAUACAAUAUUGUUUAAUUAUAAGGAUGACUGCGGCAUGUUCGUCAUCAAGUACAUAGAAUUUUUAAGUGUAGGACAUAAAAUUGAUG
rnacentral:lncRNA from 1 species